rnacentral:rRNA from 1 species
UAGGGAAUCUUCGGCAAUGGACGAAAGUCUGACCGAGCAACGCCGCGUGAGUGAAGAAGGUUUUUGGAUCGUAAAACUCUGUUGUUAGAGAAGAACAAGGACGUUAGUAACUGAACGUCCCCUGACGGUAUCUAACCAGAAAGCCACGGCUAACUACGUGCCAGCAGCCGCGGUAAUACGUAGGUGGCAAGCGUCGUCCGGAUUUAUUGGGCGUAAAGCGAGCGCAGGCGGUUUCUUAAGUCUGAUGUGAAAGCCCCCGGCUCAACCGGGGAGGGUCAUUGGAAACUGGGAGACUUGAGUGCAGAAGAGGAGAGUGGAAUUCCAUGUGUAGCGGUGAAAUGCGUAGAUAUAUGGAGGAACACCAGUGGCGAAGGCGGCUCUCUGGUCUGUAACUGACGCUGAGGCUCGAAAGCGUGGGGAGCAAACAGG